AAUGGCAGGAGUGAUACCACGAUCAUGAAGAUGGUAUCCUCAGGGUGAGGCUUAUUCAUUGCACUCCAGUUGUGCUGAACUCUGUGAUGUCCCCAAAUGUGGGAAAGUCAACUGCAUAAUUGAAUAUAUUUAUAAAAAAUAUAUAAUGUAUUUAUUA
rnacentral:snRNA from 1 species